GUUUUUGGAAAGAGUGAAAGAUAGAGGAAUGGUGCACACUGGUUGGUUACAACAGCAGCUUAUUCUAAAACACAAUAGUGUUGGAUGCUAUGUUUGUCAUGGUGGUUUUAGUUCUGUGACUGAAGCUAUGGUCAAUGAUUGUCAACUUGUGCUGUUACCUUUCAAGGGUGACCAGUUUUUUAAUUCUAAGCUCAUUGCUAAUGAUUUGGAGGCAGGGAUUGAGGUGAAUAGAAAGGAAGAAGAUGGAUAUUUUCAUCAAGAGAGUAUUCUGAAGGCAGUGAAAAUCAUCAUGAUGGAUGGUGAGAAAGAGCCUGGGAAGAGCAUAAGAGAAAACCACAUGAAAUGGAGGAAGUUUAUGUUAGAUAAAGAAAUUCAGAAUAAAUUUAUCAUUGAUCUGGUUGCUCAGCUGAAGUCUUUGGCCUAAUGCAUGAUUGGAAUUACGGUGAGUUUCAUGAAAUAAUUUGUGGUGGCGUGAUUUUGUUGAAGCUCUAAAGGGUAGCUUUACUAAAUCGCGAUGGUUCAACUUGAUUUUGUUAAACUCGUCGCGAAUUUAAACAUGCAUCUCCACUCCCUCUUGAUGGAAUGGAUUAUUUGUGUUCUAUAUUGGUUCUGUUUUUCUUUGUUUACAUGUUUGUUUCAGUUUCCGGCACCUAAUGUUGUUCUAAUUGUAACAAUUUUAUUCAUGUUUGCUGUAGUUUGUUGUAAUAAAACCACCAGUUGAUCAAUGAGAGUUAUCAACAUCAUGUAAAAUUUUAAUUUUAAUUGUCUUAAAAUUAACAUUAAUAGGUACACAAUAUUAGUUUUCUAAAAUGAUAUCAUAAUGUGAAUAAAAGAUUUAUUUCAAUCUGGAAGUUCUUUCCUUUAGAUAUUGAUAAUUGAUGUUUAAUUCAACUAUUUUGUCUUGUUGGUGAUAUUUAAUUCACCGUAUAUACUCUCGCCAACUUUUUUAUACCAAAGAUAGGGUAGUAGAUAUUUAGGUCCAAGUCCCAAAAAUAGAGUGAGCAUAAGGUGGUGUUGAGUGUGAGACACGUUUCUACAAGGAGAAUUAUUUUGCAGUGCCUCCUCCUUGAUGCUUAUGUUAAUAUACAUUUAUGAGGAAACAGAAAAGUUGUCCAUAUAUUGUUGCCAAUUGAUCUAUUUGUAAAUGUCAUAGUUUUUCAUCCAGAAAUAUGAAACAGUAUUAAUAUCCAAUCCAUAUAAAAUCAAAUUACAGUUGAAAGCACCAGAUAUGUGAAGGUAAUACAACAGUUUAGGGUUUAGGAAACUUAUGUUAUUUGGUGAAGAAAAACAACUCUUGAGAAUAGUUUGCAAUGACUAAACUGAAUGGUUACAAAUCCUAGGAGACUUUAGUGUUUGGGAUACAUAUGCUGGUUUAAUAAGAUUAGGUAAUGGAUAUUUUGUGACAGGGUUUAGUUGCUUGGGUUUAAAGAUUCCACACUUGAUUAUUUUGGUUUUGGUUGAUGGAUUAUUAGAUGAGUUUGUAGGAGGGUGGAUUUGGUCUCAUCCUUAUUUGUAGGAGUGGGGAGUGUAACCAAAGUUGUAGGAAUUUGGUUAUUGGUUUGUUGAGAAUGUUGCUGAUUAGGUGGAGUAGUUGGAAGUGUGAUUUGUUUGUUGAGGUCGGUGAAGAUUUUUUUGAGUAGGGAAAAAUUAUUUUCAAUGAAUUGGACAUGUCUAGAAUGAUAAAAUUUGUUGGUUUUAGGAUUGUAACAAAUUCAUUUCUCUGAAGCUUGGGAAUCAAUCUGAAAUCAUGCCAUCCACAGCCUGUGCCGUUGGCUCGCCAUAGGAGCUGCCAUCUCCAUUGAAUGUUGUUUCUGAUCAACUUCAAGGGCACAUAUGGAAAUACAGUGGUUCAUCCGCUCCCUUUCUUCGCAACUUGGACAGAACUGGAAAAGACGUGGGUGCCACGAGGUUUUGCUCUCUCUUCUCCAUUUCUCUUCUGUUCCAAAUUUCGCGAGAAGUUCUUUGUCAUCUCUCUCAUGCUUCUCUGGCCGCAAUUUUUCUCGUUUCACUCGUACCAAACACACACUUAGAGAUAAUUCACAUCAUAAGAUAUCUAGUACUGAGGGUGUGAACAACAAUGAUAAGCAACUUCAUGUGAUCAUGUUUCCAUUCCUUGUAUUUGGUCACAUUAGUCCUUUUGUUCAAUUAUCAAACAAAUUAUUCUCUCAUGGAGUUCGCGUAACUUUCUUAUCAGCUUCAUCAAACAUUCCUAGAAUCAAAACAGCUUUUAAUCUCAACUCGUCCAUCAACAUUAUCCCACUUCAGUCAUAUUUUGUUCAUUUGGGAGUGAGACAUUUCUGAGUGAUGAUCAAAUCAAUGAACUAGCACUUGGGUUAGAACUUACUGGUUUACCAUUCACUUUGGGUCUGAAUUUUCCAUCCAAUCUUUGUGCAAAAACUGAGUUGGAAAGAGCAUUGCCAAAAGGGUUUUUGGAAAGAGUGAAAGAUAGAGGAAUGGUGCACACUGGUUGGUUACAGCAGCAGCUUAUUCUAAAACACAAUAGUGUUGGAUGUUAUGUUUGUCAUGGUGGUUUUAGUUCUGUGAUUGAAGCUAUGGUUAAUGAUUGUCAACUUGUGCUAUUACCUUUUAAGGGUGACCAGUUUUUCAAUUCUAAGCUCAUUGCUAAUGAUUUGGAGGCAGGGAUUGAGGUG
rnacentral:lncRNA from 1 species